CAAGGAAUUUUCCGCAAUGGGGGCAACCCUGACGGAGCAACGCCGCGUGCGGGAUGACGCUUUUCGGAGUGUAAACCGCUUUUCUCGGGGAGGAUGGAGGACAGUACCUGAGGAAGAAGGCCCGGCUAACUACGUGCCAGCCGCCGCGGUAAUACGUAGGGGCCGAGCGUUGUCUGGGGUUAUUUGGCGUAAAGCGCGCGCAGGCGGCCUCGCGCGCCCGACGUGUAAGCCCCCGGCUUAACCGGGGAGGGUCGUGGGGGACGGCGGGGAUGGAGGGCGGGAGAGGUCGGUGGAAUUCCCGGUGUAGGGGGGAAAUGAGUAAAGAUCGGGAGGAACACCUGUGGCGAAGGCGGCCGACUGGGCCGAUCAUGACGCUGAGGCGCGAAGGCGGGGGGAGCGAACGGG
rnacentral:rRNA from 1 species